AUUGAACGCUGGCGGCAUGCUUUACACAUGCAAGUCGAGCGGUAACAGGCCUUCGGGUGCUGACGAGUGGCGAACGGGUGAGUAAUGCAUCGGUACGUACCCAGAGGCGGGGGAUAAAGCAGCGAAAGCUGUGCUAAUACCGCAUGUGAUCUGCGGAUGACAGCGGGGGACUGAGCAGCAUUGUUUGGCUUCGCGCCUUUGGAGCGGCUGAUGGCGUAUUAGCUAGUUGGUGGGGUAAAGGCCUACCAAGGCGACGAUCCGUAGCUGGUCUGAGAGGACGACCAGCCACACUGGGACUGAGACACGGCCCAGACUCCGACGGGAGGCAGCAGUGGGUAAGUUUGGACGAUGUGCGCAAGCCUGAUCCAGCAGUGCCGCGUGCGGGAAGAAGGCCUUCGGGUUGUAAACCGCUUUUGGCAUUGACGAAACGUUGUCCGCUAAUACCGGGCGUUAAUGACGGUACCUGCAGAAUAAGCACCGGCUAACUACGUG
rnacentral:rRNA from 1 species